AACGAACGCUGGCGGCAUGCCUAACACAUGCAAGUCGAACGAGACCUUCGGGUCUAGUGGCGCACGGGUGCGUAACGCGUGGGAACCUGCCCUUAGGUUCGGAAUAACUCCCCGAAAGGGGUGCUAAUACCAGAUAAUGUCUUCGGACCAAAGAUUUAUCGCCUUUGGAUGGGCCCGCGUUGGAUUAGCUAGUUGGUAGGGUAAAAGCCUACCAAGGCGACGAUCCAUAGCUGGUCUGAGAGGAUGAUCAGCCACACUGGGACUGAGACACGGCCCAGACUCCUACGGGAGGCAGCAGUGGGGAAUAUUGGACAAUGGGCGAAAGCCUGAUCCAGCAAGGCCGCGUGAGUGAUGAAGGCCUUAGGGUUGUAAAGCUCUUUUACCCGGGAUGAUAAUGACAGUACCGGGAGAAUAAGCUCCGGCUAACUCCGUGC
rnacentral:rRNA from 1 species